AGCGACUCCCGACACUGGAGAAGAAGCAGGAAGAGGAAGAAUCAUUGUCCAGAAUUGCCCACACUGACGAUCCCUCCCAAAAACAGUCAAAUCAAAAUUGAAUUUUAUACAAUAAUCUAAAUUCCUGGGGUCCACAACUUGACCACGAGUAAAGCCGAAUCCCGAUUUACGCAUGUGCAAGUUAAUGGGGCUCACCUGUAUAAUACAAUAC